UCUUUUACCCGGGAUGAUAAUGACAGUACCCGGGAGAAUAAGCCCCGGCUAACUACGUGCCAGCAGCCGCGGUAAUACGUAGGGGGCAAGCGUUGUCCGGAUUUACUGGGCGUAAAGAGCGCGUAGGCGGAAGCUUAAGUGUGGCCUGAAAGCCCCCGGCUCAACCGGGGAGGGUGGCUGCAAACUGGGCUUCUAGAGGGGGAUAGAGGAAAGUGGAAUUCCGGGUGUAGCGGUGAAAUGCGUAGAGAUCCAGAGGAACACCAGUGGCGAAGGCGGCUUUCUGGGUCCGCCCUGACGCUGAGGCGCGAAAGCGUGGGGAGCGAACGGGAUUAGAUACCCCGGUAGUCCACGCCGUAGACGAUGGUCACUAGAUGUGUGCGGUAUCGACCCCGCACGUGUCGCAGCUAACGCACUAAGUGACCCGCCUGGGGAGUACGGCCGCAAGGUUGAAACUCAAAGGAAUUGACGGGGGCCCGCACAAGCGGUGGAGCAUGUGGAUUAAUACGUCACUAACCGUAGAACCUUACCCAGGCUUGACAUCUGUGGAAUCCCCUUGAAAGGGGGGAGUGCCUCGCAAGAGGAGCCACAAGACAGGUGUUGCAUGGCUGUCGUCAGCUCUUGUCGUGAGAUGUUGGGUUAAGUCCCGCAACGAGCGCAACCCUCACCGUAUGUUGCCAGCGUCAAGUCGGGCACUCUUGCGGAACUGCCCGGGUAACCGGGAGGAAGGUGGGGACGACGUCAAGUCAGCAUGGCCCUUACGCCUGGGGCUUCACACAUGCUACAAUGGCCGGUACAGAGGGCUCCGAUACCGCGAGGUGGAGGCAAUCCCAAAAAGCCGGUCU
rnacentral:rRNA from 1 species